rnacentral:lncRNA from 13 species
AGGAAAGUCAUCUACUUGCACAGCUUUGAUUAUAAUUCAAACAGAAAUGACUCCCACGCUUAUCUCUCCAACUCAAAUCUCUCAUUUGAAUUCCAAAGGCAUUUUUUAACCACCAAAUCUACAGCUCCACAUAAAAAUCUCACAGACAGAUCAAACUUUGCAUGUCAAAAAUGAACCCGUGCUCAACCCACCACUUACUUGAUCUGUUGGAUUUUGUGUCUCAGUAAAUGGCAUCAUCAUCUGGAAGAAACCUGGAAGUCAACCACGACUCUGCUCCAUCCCUAAACACUCACUUAAUCAAGUCCUGUUGAGUCUACUACAAAAAAAUAUAUUUUAAAACCUUUACAUGGUUCCUUUCCACUACCCAUCAUCUCACUUCCUUUCAAUAAUCCCCUGUUUGGGGUUAAACUAUAUCCCUAAGAAAGAUAUAUUGCAGUCCUAAUCCACAAUGCCUAUGAAUAUGACCUUACUUAGAUAUAGAAUAUUUGCAGAUGUAAUCAGUUAAGAUGAGGUCAUCAGGGUGGGCUCUAUUCCAUUGUGACUGGGGUCUUUGUGGGAAGAGGAGAAGAGGCACUGAAGCAGACAUACAGGGAGAAGGUAAGGUGAAGACAUACAGGAAGAGCACCAUAAUGACAGCGUGAUGUGUCCAACAAGCAAGGAGUUUCAAGAAUUGAAAUCAACAUUGGAAGCUAAGAAAAGGACAUUGAACAGCUUUUUUCCUAAAGCCUUUAGAGAGAGCAUGACCUGCUGCAACCCCCAUCUUGAAAUUAGUUAA